rnacentral:tRNA from 1 species
ACCUUCGUAGUGUAGUGGACAGCACGCUCGAAGCCUAACCGAGAGGUCCGUGGUUCGAUUCCCGGCGAAAGCG